rnacentral:lncRNA from 1 species
UGUCACAAGCUCUGGCUGGGGACAUGGUGGAUAAUAAUUAAUCCUCAUUGAUUGAGCUGAUUCACCAAAUAACUCUCUAAUAUCUGUGGGGUCCACUUUUAGGGCAUUUACCAUAAAAUCAAUGAUUUUUAAGCUCUGCAGAAUAGAAUAGGUCUCUAAAUCAUCUCUUUAUCAUUCCACCCACACAAAAAAUAAAUAAAAUUGAAAAUAAAUAUAUUUUGGAUU